CCUACGGGUGGCAGCAGUGAGGAAUAUUGGUCAAUGGCCGGAAGGCUGAACCAGCCAUGCCGCGUGAAGGUCAGUGCCCUAUGGGCGUUAAACUUCUUUUGUGCGGGAGCAAUAAUGGUCACGUGUGGCCAGACGAGAGUACCGUACGAAUAAGCAUCGGCUAACUCCGUGCCAGCAGCCGCGGUAAAACGGGGGAUGCAAUCGUUAUCCGGAUUUAUUGGGGUUAAAGGGUGCGUAGGCUGUGAGGUAAGUCAGCGGUGAAAUGCCCCCGCUCAACGGGGUGAAGUGCCAUUGAUACUGGCUUGCUGGAAUGCGUAUGCGGUGGGAGGAAUGUGUGGUGUAGCGGUGAAAUGCAUAGAUAUCACACAGAACACCGAUUGCGAAGGCAUCUCACGAAUCCGCGAUUGACGUUGAUGCACGAAAGCGUGGGUAUCAAACAGGAUUAGAUACCCUAGUAGUC
rnacentral:rRNA from 1 species